rnacentral:rRNA from 1 species
GAUGAACGCUGGCGGCGUGCCUAAUACAUGCAAGUCGAGCGAGAAUUUUUCAAAUGACACUUCGGUUGAUUUUGGAAAAGGACAGCGGCGGACGGGUGAGUAACGCGUAGGCAACCUGCCCCUGACAGAGGGAUAGCCAUUGGAAACGAUGAUUAAAACCUCAUAACGCCGAAGGAACACAUGUUUCAUCGGCCAAAGAUUUAUCGGUCAGGGAUGGGCCUGCGUCUGAUUAACUAGUUGGUGAGGUAACGGCUCACCAAGGUGACGAUCAGUAGCCGACCUGAGAGGGUGAUCGGCCACAUUGGAACUGAGACACGGUCCAAACUUCUACGGAAGGCAGCAGUAGGGAAUCUUGCACAAUGGGCGAAAGCCUGAUGCAGCAACGCCGCGUGAAGGAUGAAGGCCUUCGGGUUGUAAACUUCUGUUCUUAGGGAAGAAGAAAGUGACGGUACCUAAGGAGAAAGCCCCGGCUAACUACGUGCCAGCAGCCGCCGUAAAAC